AGAAAACAGCAGCUUACUUUACAGCAAAGCCACACUAUGAACAAAAAUACUGAGUGAACCACAGUCCGUGACUGCUGGAGUGUCCGUGAGUCCUGAAAUCGAGAGCACAGGCAUUUCUUGUGUCCAUACCUGAUUGCACCGCGGUUCCAGGAGCAGUUCGCUACAGUUCCUGUCUCCGCUGGUGCGCCGUCCCUGAGCCCCGCAGGAGCGCGGCCUUCUCAGCAGCUACUGCCCCUUUCCGUGGGGCGGGGGCACGAGGCCGCGAGCACAGACGCCUGGCAGAGUCACACAACGGCACACACGAAAUGGCAGAGAAAGAGCAAGAGUGGAAAAGAUUCUGGUUUGGGCCCAAAUCACUAGUCGCUUCACUUCGUGAAUGAAAGCAAAUGCCUUAGAAGCUUACAGUAUUUACAGUGCUCGGAUUGUUCAAACAUCCACCCAAAGCCGAGGACCACCACGCAACAGGGAACAAUUCAGUGAACUAUGUACAGAAUUUACAAGGAACUUUACAUAAUAUUCCACAUUCCGUCAGAAGUUUACCUUUGCUUUCAGGAAACUGAGAUGUGUAUUCGUUUUUCUGUCUUUCUCAUCCCAGUAAUUGCUGAUUGAACCAACACGAACAAAUGCUGCCACCUUCCUCUUUCCUCCCUCCUGGGAUCUAGGGUUACACUUUGUUUAGGAAAAAAAAGGGAGGGGGGCACAUCACCCUUUGGUGAGAUACUAUUCAAAAUUGUCCAUAUAAGAAAUCUCGGAGGUCGUUUCCUUCUAGCAUUAUAAAUAUAUUUUGUUUGUUUAACUUGGCGAAUUUCAGUUGAGUUCUUUCAUAAAUGAAUAUUUAUAAAGGAGUCAUUGAUUUUGGAAAGAUGGAAUUUAGUCAACAUUUCUGUGUAUUGUACGUAAUGUUUGUUUAAGGAAAGCCUAUCCUUGGAUCUAUAAACCAAACUUUAUUCUCUGCACCACGUUUUUCUCUUUGCAUUUUCAAGAUCUUUCAUUGCUUGUAAUGCACAAUAAAGAUGGCACAUAUGAUAUGAGAACA
rnacentral:lncRNA from 1 species